rnacentral:lncRNA from 1 species
AAACGAAUAAGAAAUAUCAGUUUUAGUUGGAAAGUUGUGUUUGCGCGCUCCAUGAAGACAUUACGCACCUAUUGAACAUACUUCUUUUGGAAAGAAGUAUUAUAGUUUGAUUACAUUUUAGGGUAUCUGAGGAGUAAAUAGAAACAUAUUUUGACUUGUUGAAACAAAGUUUAGGGGUAGAUUUUCAGAUUCCUUUCUCUGCAAGUUGAAUGAGUGGAUUACUCAAAUCGAUGGCACCAACUAAAUGGACUUUUUGGGAUAUAAAGAAGGAUUUUAUCUAACAAAACGACACUACAUGUUAUAGCUUGGACCCUUUGGAUGACAAAUCAGAGGAAGAUUUUCAAAAGGUUAAUGACGACAUACAAGUCUCUGAGUCUGAGUGGUGAUGGUGUAUGCCCAGACUGGGGUGCAACAGUACCCUGAGUAGGCACUCUGGCUGGUUCAGGACUUGAGCCCUAGGACCAUGCCUCAGGACUACCUGGCUUGAUGACUCCUUGCUGUCCCCAGUUCACCUGGCCGUGCUGCUGCUCCAGUUCCAACUGUUCUGCCUGCAGCUAUGGAACCCUGACCUGUUCGCCGGACGUGCUACCUGUCCCAGACCUGUUGUCCCAGACCUGCUGGAACCCUGACCUAUUCACCGGACGUGCUACCUGUCCCAGACCUGCUGUUUUCAACUCUCUAGAGACAGCAGGAGCGGUAGAGAUACUCUCAAAGAUCGGCUAUGAAAAAGCCAACUGACACUUACUCUUGUGUUACUGACUUGUUGCACCCUCGACAACUACUAUGAUUAUUAUUAUUUGACAAUGCUGGUCAUUUAUGAACAUUUGAACAUCUAGGCUAUGUGCUGUUAUAAUCUCCACCCGGCACAGCCAGAAGAGGACUGGCCACCCCUCAUAGCCUGGUUCCUCUCUAGGUUUCUUCCUAGGUUUUGGCCUUUCUAGGGAGUUUUUCCUAGCCACCGUGCUUCUACACCUGCAUUGCUUGCUGUUUGGGGUUUUAGGCUGGGUUUCUGUACAGCACUUUGUGAUAUCAGCUGAUGUAAGAAGGGCUAUAUAAAUACAUUUGAUUUGAUUUGAUUUGAAUACAUGUUAGAAUCACUUUGUAACGAUCGUCUGGAAGAGGGGACCAAGAUGCAGCGUGGUAAGUGGUCAUAAUGAUUUUUAAUGAUACACUUCAAAAAAUAAACUGGGAAAAUGAAAGCCAACAGUUCUGUCGGUGCAAACCACACAACAGAAACAAUCACCCACAAAACCCAAAGGAAAAAUAGGCUACUUAUGUGUGACUCCCAAUCAGCAACAAUGAACUUCAGCUGUGCCUGAUUGGGAGCCACACACGGCCCAAAACAAAGAAAUACAAAAACAUAGAAAAUAUAACACCCUGGCCUAACCAAAAAUAAAGAACAAAAACCCCUCUCUAUGGCCAGCGCAUUACAGUACCCCCCCACCAAAGGUGCGGACUCUGGCCGCAAAACCUGACUCUGAAGGGGAGGUUCCGGGUGGGCCUUCUUACGGCGGCGGCUCAGGUGCAGGACGUGGCCUCCACUCCACC